UACGUAGGUGGCAAGCGUUAUCCGGAAUUACUGGGCGUAAAGCGCGCGCAGGUGGUGCCGUAAGUUGGGCGUGAAAUCUCCCGGCCUAACUGGGAGGGGUCGCCCAAGACUGCGGGACUUGAGGCUGGCAGAGGUAGGUGGAAUUCCUGGUGUAGUGGUGAAAUGCGUAGAGAUCAGGAGGAACACCGGUGGCGAAGGCGGCCUACUGGGCCAGCACUGACGCUGAGGCGCGAAAGCUCGGGGAGCGAACGGG
rnacentral:rRNA from 1 species